AUGAUGCUUAUAACAAGGAAGCUGCUGGAGGGGGCAGAGCUGAAUUACCUAUGGUUAGCCAGAACCAUGAUCAUCUCCUUGCUGCUUAUUCUCGGCUUCGAGCCAUUCGUCGCUGCCGUCAAUCCACUGACGCAGAUCUGCUACUACAGAGACUCCCACAUGAACGAGAGCACCUACAGAGAGAACCUUGAGCUCCUAUCUACUGCGCUAUUCAGUAGUGCCUCAUCCACACGAACCAACCUCACCAAGGGCUUCGUCGGAACUGACCAAGACCGCAUAUACGGCGUCGUGGUGUGCCGCGGUGAUGGCGUCGUCGAUGCCUGCCCCAGCUGCAUCACCACAGCAUUCCAGGAUGUGUGGCGGGUGUGCACAAACCACAAGGAGGCGCAUAUUCUAUACAAGGAUUGCAUCGUCCACAUCUCUGCGAAGGAUCUUAUCUACGACUCUACUGUUGUGCUGAACAGGUUGCUGGUCUUCACGGACACCACAAAACACAAUAUGGAUCCCAACAUCCCCAGCGAGGUGAGAGCCAAGUACACCGAUGUCAGCAUUGAUGGCAACAUCAAGGUGCUGCUUCAAGAGACAGCCAAACAAGCAGCCUACAACUCGACGAUGAUGUACGCCACCGGCCGCAUGGAUGUCUACAGCACAAUCCCGCUGCUCUACUCUCUGGCGCAGUGCAACCUGGAGUCCUGGACCUACCGCCAAAUGACUGUUGGGAUUGCCUCGACAAUAUCAGGAGUGCGGCGAAGAGUUUCUUCUACCAGCAACGUGGUGAAUGGAUUGCUGGUGUGUGGUGCAAUUUCAGGUAUAGCACAUAUCAGUUCUACGAGGGUCAGCCCAUGCAGCAUAUCACCUUGUCGGGUGCUGUAG
rnacentral:rRNA from 1 species